AAACGUAGGUGGCGAACGUUAUCCGGAUUUACUGGGCGUAAAGCGCUCGCAGGCGGCUUCGUAAGUCUGACGUGAAAGCUCCCGGCUUAACUGGGAGAGGCCGUUGGAUACUGCGGAGCUUGAGGGCAGGAGAGGAGAGUGGAAUUCCCGGUGUAGCGGUGGAAUGCGUAGAUAUCGGGAGGAAAUCCAGUGGCGAAGGCGACUCUCUGGCCUGACCCUGACGCUCAGGAGCGAAAGCGUGGGGAGCGAACAGGAUUAGAAACCCUAGUAGUCC
rnacentral:rRNA from 1 species